AGGGGGAUAGCUCCCUCAUCUUGGAUCUAGGGGAGCUUAUAACAUCUUUUAAAAGGCGAAAAUUCAAGUUAUCUGUGGACUGUCAGAACAUUUUGCAUAAGUCAUCCCCAGAUGUUCUACAUUUCAACUCCAUCAAAUAUUAAAUUGAUGUUUAUGGGCUAACCUGGAAACCGAAAAACAGUUUGUUUCACUACAAGAAUAAGAAAAUAUGUCCAAAUUCCUGUCAGCUGACUUAUAAAGGGACUUUUAGAACACAACCCAAUGCAUGAGGUACUCCUUAAGCCCUGACAACCAUCUUGAAGAUGGAAUCAUGAAUAUGGCAAAUUUUCUACGGGGCUUUGAAGAAAAGGGGAUAAAGAACGACAGGCCUGAGGACCAGUUGAGCAAAGAGAAAAAGAAAAUUC
rnacentral:lncRNA from 10 species